rnacentral:lncRNA from 1 species
CUCCCCCUUCCUUCCCGUGCCGAUGUGCAUGCUCGCCGGCGACCGGAGUCGUCGGAUUUUAUUGCGGAAGUAACCUUCAUUUUUUGAUCGUUUCCCUUUGAUUCCGACGCCGGUGGUCACCGCCGACCAUCGGUUUGGCCUCCUCUUGCCGCCGGAUCGUCUCCCCUCCUGCCGACGGCCACCCCACGUCGGCUGCACCGCCGGUCGGCCAGCCAACGAGGGGACCUCAAGGUCCCCUGUUUCAGCCCAAAAGAAACCCACGGGAAAGAAGAAAAGAAGAAGAAGAAGAAGGAAAAGAAAAAGAAAA